rnacentral:rRNA from 1 species
AAAUUGAAGAGUUUGAUCAUGGCUCAGAUUGAACGCUGGCGGCAGGCCUAACACAUGCAAGUCGAACGGUAACAGGAAGCAGCUUGCUGCUUUGCUGACGAGUGGCGGACGGGUGAGUAAUGUCUGGGAAACUGCCUGAUGGAGGGGGAUAACUACUGGAAACGGUAGCUAAUACCGCAUAACGUCGCAAGACCAAAGAGGGGGACCUUAGGGCCUCUUGCCAUCGGAUGUGCCCAGAUGGGAUUAGCUAGUAGGUGGGGUAACGGCUCACCUAGGCGACGAUCCCUAGCUGGUCUGAGAGGAUGACCAGCCACACUGGAACUGAGACACGGUCCAGACUCCUACGGGAGGCAGCAGUGGGGAAUAUUGCACAAUGGGCGCAAGCCUGAUGCAGCCAUGCCGCGUGUAUGAAGAAGGCCUUCGGGUUGUAAAGUACUUUCAGCGGGGAGGAAGGGAGUAAAGUUAAUACCUUUGCUCAUUGACGUUACCCGCAGAAGAAGCACCGGCUAACUCCGUGCCAGCAGCCGCGGUAAUACGGAGGGUGCAAGCGUUAAUCGGAAUUACUGGGCGUAAAGCGCACGCAGGCGGUUUGUUAAGUCAGAUGUGAAAUCCCCGGGCUCAACCUGGGAACUGCAUCUGAUACUGGCAAGCUUGAGUCUCGUAGAGGGGGGUAGAAUUCCAGGUGUAGCGGUGAAAUGCGUAGAGAUCUGGAGGAAUACCGGUGGCGAAGGCGGCCCCCUGGACGAAGACUGACGCUCAGGUGCGAAAGCGUGGGGAGCAAACAGGAUUAGAUACCCUGGUAGUCCACGCCGUAAACGAUGUCGACUUGGAGGUUGUGCCCUUGAGGCGUGGCUUCCGGAGCUAACGCGUUAAGUCGACCGCCUGGGGAGUACGGCCGCAAGGUUAAAACUCAAAUGAAUUGACGGGGGCCCGCACAAGCGGUGGAGCAUGUGGUUUAAUUCGAUGCAACGCGAAGAACCUUACCUGGUCUUGACAUCCACGGAAGUUUUCAGAGAUGAGAAUGUGCCUUCGGGAACCGUGAGACAGGUGCUGCAUGGCUGUCGUCAGCUCGUGUUGUGAAAUGUUGGGUUAAGUCCCGCAACGAGCGCAACCCUUAUCCUUUGUUGCCAGCGGUCCGGCCGGGAACUCAAAGGAGACUGCCAGUGAUAAACUGAAGGAAGGUGGGGAUGACGUCAAGUCAUCAUGGCCCUUACGACCAGGGCUACACACGUGCUACAAUGGCGCAUACAAAGAGAAGCGACCUCGCGAGAGCAAGCGGACCUCAUAAAGUGCGUCGUAGUCCGGAUUGGAGUCUGCAACUCGACUCCAUGAAGUCGGAAUCGCUAGUAAUCGUGGAUCAGAAUGCCACGGUGAAUACGUUCCCGGGCCUUGUACACACCGCCCGUCACACCAUGGGAGUGGGUUGCAAAAGAAGUAGGUAGCUUAACCUUCGGGAGGGCGCUUACCACUUUGUGAUUCAUGACUGGGGUGAAGUCGUAACAAGGUAACCGUAGGGGAACCUGCGGUUGGAUCACCUCCUUA